rnacentral:rRNA from 1 species
UACGGAGGAUCCGAGCGUUAUCCGGAUUUAUUGGGUUUAAAGGGUGCGCAGGCGGGAGAUUAAGUCGGCGGUGAAAUUUUGCAGCUCAACUGUAAAAGUGCCUUCGAAACUGGUUUCCUUGAGUGUAGAUGAAGUAGGCGGAAUUUGUGGUGUAGCGGUGAAAUGCAUAGAUAUCACGAGGAACUCCGAUUGCGAAGGCAGCUUACUAAGCUACUACUGACGCUCAGGCACGAAGCGUGGGAGUCAAACAGGAUUAGAUACCCUCGUA